ensembl:lncRNA LINC02018 long intergenic non-protein coding RNA 2018
GGAGGGCGAGGCCUGGGGUAGGGCCAGGAUAAGCGUCGUUGGGGCAGGUCCUGGGUAGAGUCCAGGUUGGCGGGUCCUGGGGCGGAGUCAGGAUAGGGCGAUCCUGGAAGCUGGGCUUCAGAAGCGUCCAGUACCUCCGCCUUCAGGAAGGUCUUUUUAGCAGGGGCCUUACAGGUGCACGCUUCGGUCCUGGAGGCCUUAUCCUAACCUCUCCAUCAGCGCCACCCGUCUGGGGCCCGAAAGGAGGGAGCUUUCCCUCUGUCCUCCAGCCUUUGGACUGUCUCCAAACAAGCCAUUCGUUCACCAAAUACUUAUUAAGCACCUACCAUGUGCCUGACAAGGGAGAUGUAACGCUGGGGAAACUGAGUUACAGAGCUUUUCUGCACUGAGUCAUCAGGAGCAAAUGCUAGAUCAGAUAGGGUCUCUCUCUCUGCCACCCAGGCCAGAGUGCAGUUGACGCAGGGCAGGGGAGCCCCGAAGUGGAGCAUAGUGUGUCCGGAACUGGUGGGUUCUUGGUCUCACUGACUUCAAGAAUGAAGCCGUGGACCCUCACGGUUCAAGCGAUUCUCCUGCCUCAGCCUCCAGAGUAGCUGGAACUACAGAUGCGCACCACCACGCCCAGGCUGUGCUUCUCAGUGGCUCCCACCAGAUACCUGAUGGUCCUGUCGAUUUGCUGAAUCAUCAACUUCCUAUUCUCUGCCUCUGGCCUGAAUCGAUGUCCCACGUUAUCUGGCUCUCUGUAACACAGAGUCACAAAGUCAAAGUCUUCCUUGGUGAACCAGUUCAUGACAGUAUCGAUGUUCGCACUCCGCUCUGUCUCGUUGCUGUUUGGCCAUGAUCUGUCACCCAGGCUGGAGUGCAAUGGUGUGAUCUCAUCUCGCUGCAACCUCUGCCUUCUGGAUUAAAGCAAUUCUCCUGCCUCAGCCUCCCGGGUAUCUGGGAUUACAGUUGCACGCCACCACACCUGGCUAAUUUUUUGUAUUUUUAAUAGAGACAGGGUUUCACCAUGUUGGCCAGGCUUGUCUUGAACUCCUGACGUCGUGAUCUGCCUGCUUUGGCCUCCCAAAGUCCUGGGAUUACAGGCAUGAGCCACCGUACCCAGCCACUCUUGAUUAACUUAAUGGAAAUAUUUACAGAGAUUCUUUCUCUUCUGGGUUCUAGCGUCUUAUCUGUAACCUCUGCAGGUAAUACAUUUUCCUUCCUGAUAAAAGCAUUUCUAUGGUUGCUUUUACUUGCAAAUCCUCUAAUACUUAUUUAUUCCAUUUCUGAUUGGCAUUAGACAUAAUUCUCAAUUUUUAGUGACAGCACUUUUGUUAACUUACAUAUCAAUCGACUUUGCCUUGAAAUGUGACAUUGACUAGAAGGAUGAAACUUCUAACAUGCUGUAGAACAUAGUUUCACUGGCUAACUUAUUAUUUAGAAGAAGCUAAUAUUGCCAUUAUGAGGGACUUAGGUGGCUCUGAAGAACCAGUUGUAUUUCUGAUGUUUGCAAUGUUAAAUCACAGAUAUUGCCAAUGUGAAAUAGGUUCUGUAUGCUGUGUUCUCAAUACACACCUUUUCCAAAGA